CAGUCGCCGCGGUAAUACGUAGGGUGCAAGCGUUAAUCGGAAUUACUGGGCGUAAAGGGCUCGCAGGCGGUUUCUUAAGUCUGAUGUGAAAGCCCCCGGCUCAACCGGGGAGGGUCAUUGGAAACUGGGAAACUUGAGUGCAGAAGAGGAGAGUGGAAUUCCACGUGUAGCGGUGAAAUGCGUAGAGAUGUGGAGGAACACCAGUGGCGAAGGCGACUCUCUGGGCCAACACUGACACUGAGGCACGAAAGCGUGGGGAGCAAACAGGAUUAGAUACCCGAGUAGUCCCUGUCUCUUAUAC
rnacentral:rRNA from 1 species